GAUGAACGCUGGCGGCGUGCCUAAUACAUGCAAGUCGAGCGAACAGACGAGGAGCUUGCUCCUCUGACGUUAGCGGCGGACGGGUGAGUAACACGUGGAUAACCUACCUAUAAGACUGGGAUAACUUCGGGAAACCGGAGCUAAUACCGGAUAAUAUAUUGAACCGCAUGGUUCAAUAGUGAAAGACGGUUUUGCUGUCACUUAUAGAUGGAUCCGCGCCGCAUUAGCUAGUUGGUAAGGUAACGGCUUACCAAGGCAACGAUGCGUAGCCGACCUGAGAGGGUGAUCGGCCACACUGGAACUGAGACACGGUCCAGACUCCUACGGGAGGCCGCAGUAGGGAAUCUUCCGCGAUGGGCGAAAGCCUGACGGAGCAACGCCGCGUGAGUGAUGAAGGUCUUCGGAUCGUAAAACUCUGUUAUUAGGGAAGAACAAAUGUGUAAGUACCUAUGCACGUCUUGACGGUACCUAAUCAGAAAGCCACGGCUAACUACGUG
rnacentral:rRNA from 1 species